UGUGUCUUGACAGCCCACAUGAAUCUAUGAUGAUGAUAAAUGUUCUCAUUUAGAACUUUUUCUUUUCCUGAGAUAUUUUACAUGUUAUCUCCAAUUUGCUUUGAAUUUCUCAAAAGACAUAUGUUCACAGAAGAAAGUCUCUGCUUGCUUUUCAUUAAGUAAGAUCUUAUCAGGCUGUUUGCAUGUGGCAUCACGUUUGAACUAUUAAUCUUAUGACAGGAUAUUAAAAAGGGGGGAGGGGAAUUCCUUAACAGGUUGAAGGCCAUUACACUUGAGAAACAGCCCUCAGCACCCAGGAACAAGAACCAGCCCAGGAAUUGCAACUGCAAUGACUAAUAAGACUUUCCUGAAGCCAACACUCUAGGCAAAAAGGUUGCUUCUUAGGAGGGUGUACCCUGGACAGAGGAAGCUAAAAUGACUUGUGUGCCGCUUGGCUGGACUGUGGUGCUGCUGGAUCAUUGACCUGCAGGAUCUUGGUGGGGCGCCAGGGAGUGAUUGUUAAUCAGAUUGGUGUCAAGCGAUUGUUAACUCUCAGUGACGUUAAGGCUUCUCUGGAAUUGAGGCACAAACCAGUAAGGCAAAACACAGAUCUAGAGUAAAAAGAAAAAUAAUAAUUCUGUAUCCCUACUAUGGCAAGUCUAUAAAGUACAGAAACACACUAGUGUACACUCAAGCACACACACAAAGAGAGACACAAAAGCAACACUCUAAGAAACCAAUAGGAAACUGGCUUAAGAGAAGGCUUUGGGGAUAAGUGAGGUCUUCAUGACUUUCUGGGCCAUACGGCUGGGACAAGACUUUCACAUUUGUCCCAACAGUAGUGAGAAUCUUUGAUGCAUUUUAAGCAAAGAAAAUACACAACCAGAAUUGUAUUUUUCAAAGGUUAUUUUGACAGUGGUAUGGAUAAUCCAUUUAAAAUACGGCUAGAGAAAGUCAGAAUGCUAUAGAAGUCUAGGUGACCACCUUCGCCUAUGGCUGGCCUGUGGAAAUGAUGAAAGUAUAUAAAUUCCAGGAGAGUUUUGAAGUUCAAAUUAAAGAACUUGAUGAUGGCUUAAAUACCAGGAAUGGGAAAGAGGAGGAUAUCAAGGGAGAUUUCCAGUUUUCUGGGUCUACAACCAGACCAAUGGCAGGGAAUGAGGCAGAAAUGGGGAUAGCAGACAUGGUGGGGCAGGUCAUGAGUUGGAUUUUGGACAUAUUAUGUUUGCAAUGCCUAUGAAGUAUCUAAGUAGGGAUGUUAAGUUGUUUAUUUCCAUCUAAUGGUUAUUAAAUGCCAUAAAGUAGCCUGAUAUGUGAUCUACUGAAUACUGUCUAGAUAACUCUCAUUCAUUUUUCUAAGUCUUUAAUUUAAAAAAAAUUUGAAAUAUUUUUGCACUUGAAUAAAAUAGAAAAUCGUAGUAUUAUUGCAAAUUUAUAAAUUAAGUUGACUCAAAAUAUCCUGAGCUGCUUUCUCUCUUUUCUAUCCAGGAAAAGUGUUGUCAUUUGAACGUCAAGGGUUUCUCAGACCACCAGAAAAGGUAGCCAAACCAGGCCAGUGUUGACGAAGGCCUAAGAAAAAUUAGGUUUAUCAUCAGUAGAGAAUAUGUGUGUUCUUGCUAUAUGUUAACUAGUUUUUUUUCUCUUCUUCUCCAGAUUAUCUCCUUUUGAUAUCUCUGCUUAGAGGAAUACAGAAUGUGGCCACAUGUUACUCUUCUACCAAUGUCAGGAUAAAGCAUGCAUUAGGAUCCCUCAGUGGAGAACUAUGUCCAUUCCAUGCUCCUUCCAACUAGUUUGAGAAAUGGCUCCAAAUUUUCCUUAAUAUUAUUCUGAAUUGCUCUAUGAAGUAAAUGUCAGGCAUUUUAUUUCCAUUUCCCUAAAAUAGAGAAUGGGUUGCUAGGGAAAAUGCCUAAGCCAGCCAUAAAGCAUUUCCAAAGGGAGGACAUAGUGAAUAAAAAAUGUUAAUUCCUGUCUUGUUUAACAAGCUCUCAUGGCAGCUCCAAGGGGUAGUAAAAUUUAUACUCCUACCAGGACAGCUCUAGACUAUGGCAUCAGCAUGGGAUGGAAAGUAGCCCUGGGAAACAGAAUAGUGUGGUUGCCUGCUACCCUUUACUUAUCUGAAUAGUUUGUCUCUGCUGUGCCCAGGAGGUUUGCACCUCAUGGGGUGGGAGGUGGUGCAAUCAGGUAAGAAUGCUCUUUACUUACUCCUUUGUCGGAAAAAGGAUGACUGUAAUGUGUGGGCUGGAGUGGAGUGGAACUGAGUUUAAAAUCUGCAGUAACAUAAAAUUAAAGACUAGGUAUUAACAAUGGCUUUGCACUCUGAGUUGCCAUGGGCUGAGAGGGACAGCUGGACAGCCAGAGGGAUUCCAGAGGGACUUGGCAGGACAGAGCAGUGUAAGCCAUCUUACUGCCUCGAAAAACACAGGUAGGAGCACAUCAGACUUCAGUAACACAGGAUUUAUCUCAGUAUCCAUUUUUUCUGAUUCUCAGUUUUCUUAUCCAUAAAAUAGAUUAAAUAAUAUAUGCUUUGUGAGGUUCUUGUGAAGAUUAAAUGAGAUGAAAAAUGCAAAGUGCUGGAGGAACACCUGCAGGAGCUCUAUCCAUGAAAAACUGUUGGCCGGGCACGGUGGCUCACGCCUGUAAUCCCAGCACUCUGGGAGGCCGAGGCGGGUGGAUCACCUGAGGUAGGGAGUUAGAGACCAGCCUGGCCAACAUGGGGAAACCCCGUCUCUACUAAAAAUAAAAAUAUCAGCCAGACGUGGUUGCGGGCGCCUGUAAUCCCAGCUACUUGGGAGGCUGAGUAACAAGAAUUGCUUGAACCCGGG
rnacentral:lncRNA from 1 species